rnacentral:rRNA from 1 species
ACACGGGGGGGGCGAGCGUUAUUCGGAAUUACUGGGCGUAAAGGGCACGUAGGCGGCCUGAUAAGUGUGAAGUGAAAUGCCUGGGCUCAACCUGGGACUUGCUUCGCAUACUGUCAGGCUAGAGUCCGGGAGAGGCUGGUGGAAUUCCUGGUGUAGGGGUGAAAUCCGUAGAUAUCAGGAGGAACGCCGUUGGAGAAGUCGGCCAGCUGGACCGGGACUGACGCUGAGGUGCGAAAGCGUGGGGAGCAAACAGGAUUAGAUACCCUAGUAGUCC